ACACUUUUUAGAUUAUAUACUAAAAUUGGAACAAUACAGAGAAGAUUAGCAUAGCCCCUGUGCAGGGAUGAUACGCAAAUUCGUGAAGCAUUCAGUAUUUUU